UACAGAGGUCUCAAGCGUUGUUCGGAUUCAUUGGGCGUAAAGGGUGCGUAGGCGGCAUGACAAGUCACUUGUGAAAUCUCCGGGCUUAACUCGGAACGGUCAAGUGAUACUGUCGCGCUAGAGUGCGGAAGGGGCAAUCAGAAUUCUUGGUGUAGCGGUGAAAUGCGUAGAUAUCAAGAGGAAUACCUGAGGUGAAGACGGGUUGCUAGGCCGACACUGACGCUGAAGCGCGAAAGCCAGGGGAGCAAACGGG
rnacentral:rRNA from 1 species